UGGGGAAUAUUGGGCAAUGGGCGCAAGCCUGACCCAGCAACGCCGCGUGAAGGAAGAAGGCUUUCGGGUUGUAAACUUCUUUUCUGGGGCGAAGAAAGUGACGGUACCCCAGGAAUAAGCCACGGCUAACUACGUGCC
rnacentral:rRNA from 1 species